GGGCGGGGGAGUCUUG
rnacentral:rRNA from 1 species